UGUCGUUGCGCAGCCUAGAGAAGGGCGUUUCCUUCGGGAACGCAAUGACAGGUGGUGCAUGGUCGUCGUCAGCUCGUGUCGUGAGAUGUUGGGUUAAGUCCCGCAACGAGCGCAACCCUUGUUACUAGUUGCCAGCAUUAAGUUGGGCACUCUAGUGAGACUGCCGGUGACAAACCGGAGGAAGGUGGGGACGACGUCAGAUCAUCAUGCCCCUUAUGACCUGGGCUACACACGUGCUACAAUGGACGGUACAACGAGUCGCGAACUCGCGAGGGCAAGCAAAUCUCUUAAAACCGUUCUCAGUUCGGACUGCAGGCUGCAACUCGCCUGCACGAAGUCGGAAUCGCUAGUAAUCGCGGAUCAGCAUGCCGCGGUGAAUACGUUCCCGGGUCUUUUACACACCGA
rnacentral:rRNA from 2 species